rnacentral:lncRNA from 1 species
CAUGGAGUCCUCCUUGCCCUGCUUAGUUCCUUGGGAUUCAGAUUUGUCUUCUGCUACCAACAGAACACAUCAGCACACCAAAGGCUUUCCAAACCUCCCCCAAAAGGAAGUAUCAAGUUGAAAAUAUGACAUAAAGGACACACUGUGACUCCCACAUGGUACUUUCUGUAUCAGUUUGGAUCAUCAGAAAGUGACAUCCCCAAAUCACACUCACAUAUACUUUUAUAGAAUUUCUUUUCUGUAAUAGAUUGAAGGUCCAUUACUCAUUUCGCCAACCAUGGAAGCAGGAAGAUCAAAUUUUGGUGACACUCUUUCUACGAGACCAUCUUUUUUCUUUGUCCCUACAGUUCCUCUGUAAAUAGUCCAUGACCACAGGACCUCACAUUACCAGGAGAGAUUAAGCAUCGCAUCGAUUAGGCACAUUCACCUGGUGGAGCCCAGGCCAGCAGGGCUGUCAGGAGCUGUCUCCAAGCAUGCCUGAUGAUCAAAGUGAAGUUCUUUAAGAACAAACAACCCUCUCUUUGAGGAGAAUAUCCAAAUGAAGUGAGAGGCUGCUUUUUGCACAGAGAAGUGGGUAAUACGAGGAACCCACAGCUGUGGUAUGUGGCUCCCGAAAACCCAGGAGGGAAUUAGAUACUGCAAGAAGAAUAUGGACAAUGCAAUGACUCCAACUACGCACAAAGGCUUUUGUUGUUGUUUUUGUUUUUUUUUCUUUGUUUUGUUUUGUUUUGUUGUUUGAGACAGGGUUUCUCUGUGUAGUCUUGAUUGUCCUGGAACUCACUCUGUAGACCAAGCUAGCCUCAAACUCACAGAGAUCUGCCUACCUCUGACUCCCAAGUGCUGGAAUUAAAGGCAUGCACCACCAUCACCUCCUGUGAU